AUUGAACGCUGGCGGCAUGCCUUACACAUGCAAGUCGAACGGCAGCAUGGAGAGCUUGCUCUCUGAUGGCGAGUGGCGAACGGGUGAGUAAUGCAUCGGAACGUACCGUGUAAUGGGGGAUAACGUAGCGAAAGUUACGCUAAUACCGCAUACGACCUGAGGGUGAAAGCAGGGGAUCGCAAGACCUUGCGUUAUACGAGCGGCCGAUGUCAGAUUAGCUAGUUGGUGAGGUAAAGGCUCACCAAGGCGACGAUCUGUAGCGGGUCUGAGAGGAUGAUCCGCCACACUGGGACUGAGACACGGCCCAGACUCCGACGGGAGGCAGAAGUGGGGAAUUUUGGACAAUGGGGGCAACCCUGAUGCAGCCAUGCCGCGUGAGUGAAGAAGGCCUUCGGGUUGUAAAGCUCUUUCGGCCGGGAAGAAAUCGCACAGGCUAAUACUCUGUGUGGAUGACGGUACCGGCAUAAGAAGCACCGGCUAACUACGUGCCAGCCGCCGCAGUAA
rnacentral:rRNA from 1 species